rnacentral:ncRNA from 1 species
GGUGAUGUCUCCUUACCGAUAUCAAGGGAGGCACUCGGUCAUACUGUGGGAAGAUUAACGAGUAAAUCUUGCCUUAGACACUUUUGUUGUCGAUAGUAUGGCGUGAGGGUGGGUUAGAUGCCC